rnacentral:rRNA from 1 species
GGGCGCUGGAGAACUGAGGGGGGCUGCUCCUAGUACGAGAGGACCGGAGUGGACGCAUCACUGGUGUUCGGGUUGUCAUGCCAAUGGCACUGCCCGGUAGCUAAAUGCGGAAGAGAUAAGUGCUGAAAGCAUCUAAGCACGAAACUUGCCCCGAGAUGAGUUCUCCCUGACUCCUUGAGAGUCCUGAAGGAACGUUGAAGACGACGACGUUGAUAGGCCGGGUGUGUAAGCGCAGCGAUGCGUUGAGCUAACCGGUACUAAUGAACCGUGAGGCUUAACCUUACAACGCCGAAG